CUCACAUGGCUCUUACUUGUUUUAAAAGAACAUUGGACACCAUACUAAAUUUAUCCGAAUGAAGUUGUUACGGUGCAAGGAGCUCCUGGGCACAAUCUUACCAUAAGGGGUUAAGUGUUAGAAAUUGUUUAACCCCAAAGUUGUGAAGCUGGUUCUCAUCAGCUCGUGCCACUGUCCUGUGGUCCUUUGUUGAGGAAACAUCAGCAAUUGCCGCACUUGCACGGUCUCUAUGGACAGACAUUAAAUUGUCUGAGAUCACCUCACUCCCACCCACAUUGUGCUCCCUACGAAAGCCUCAGUGGAUUGUUUUUUGAAAGAACCCUCCUCUAGUCGGCCGUAGCAAGUGUUUGUGAUCUGAGCCAGCAAAGUGGAGAAGCCUGUGAUUUGCCUGCAUGCUGCCUCUGUUAUGUUGGAAGGAGGCGCAAUAGUCAGCACCAGUAGGUUUUGGUUUCUAGGUGAGUAAUGAUGAUCUAAACAACGGUCCCUGAGCAGUGCCACAGGAACAAUGGCAAGAAGAGGGAAGAAAGAUAG